UACGGAGGGUGCGAGCGUUAAUCGGAAUUACUGGGCGUAAAGGCGCACGCAGGCGGCUUGUUAAGCUAGAGGUGAAAGCCCCGCGCUCAACGUGGGAACUGCCUUUAGAACUGGCAGGCUAGAGCUUGGGAGAGGGGAGUGGAAUUCCAGGUGUAGCGGUGAAAUGCGUAGAUAUCUGGAGGAACAUCAGUGGACGAAAGGCGGCUCCCUGGCCAAAAGACUGACGCUCAUGUGCGAAAGUGUGGGUAGCGAAACAGGAUUAGAUACCCGGGUAGUCC
rnacentral:rRNA from 1 species